CCUACGGGUGGCAGCAGUGAGGAAUAUUGGUCAAUGGGCGCAAGCCUGAACCAGCCAAGUAGCGUGAAGGAUGACGGCCCUACGGGUUGUAAACUUCUUUUAUGCGGGGAUAAAGUGAGACACGUGUGCCUUUUUGCAUGUACUUUAUGAAUAAGGAUCGGCUAACUCCGUGCCAGCAGCCGCGGUAAUACGGAGGAUCCGAGCGUUAUCCGGAUUUAUUGGGUUUAAAGGGAGCGCAGGCGGGGCGUUAAGUCAGUUGUGAAAUGUUGCGGCUCAACCGUGGAAUUGCAGUGGAUACUGGGAGUCUUGAGUACAGUGGAGGUAGGCGGAAUUCGUGGUGUAGCGGUGAAAUGCUUAGAUAUCACGAAGAACUCCGAUUGCGAAGGCAGACUACCAUACCGUUACUGACACUGAGGCUCGAAAGUGUGGGUAUCAAACAGGAUUAGAUACCCUAGUAGUC
rnacentral:rRNA from 1 species